ensembl:lncRNA
CGUGCAAAAGCUGGCGCGGCAGAAGCUGCCGUACAGCCCGCAGUGGAGCCUGCUGCUGGCCAUGGGUGAGUGCCUGGCCCGGGUGGUGCUGCGGGCAGAGAGGUGUUUGCCCUUACUGUGGGGGGCUCGUCCCUAGCUCCGGUCACCUCUCGACGCCCAGUCCCCGGGGGUUCCGGAGGGUUCUUGGGCAGCUGCAUCAGGUGCUGUCCCCACCAAGGUGCUGCUGGCGCUGUCAGAAGCACCUCGGCCUUCCCAGCCGCAGGGUCCCUCGCGAGCUAUGUGGUAACCAGAGCUGAGACACAGAAAUGCUCCGACUUCUGGAUUUAUCUGGAGACAGGCAAGUCCCCACAGCAGCUCGCCGUGACUGGUGGGGUGUCUCAGACCACAGAAAAUCUGCUCAGCACAGAGGACAGGGACAGCGCCGCACUGCCGGUGAGGAGGAACAGGUAUGGAGAUGUGGUGGAGUAGCCGGCAAAGCACAGCACUCUGUACCUGUAUCCCACUUCAGCCCCUGCUGCCUGCCCAACCUGUCGCUGCCCAUGCUGCCUGUGCACCUGGUAGGCUUGAUGGCACUGUUGGGAAGCUCAGAGGACUUGAUCCUGCAGCGAGAGUGUGGUGGAGGCACUACAGGGAUCACUGCUGCCCACCUCAUGGCCUCUGAACAUUGCACUGAGGGUACAAUAAAAGUCAAGAACUGAAGGUGCUCAUUGUGGAUGAGGUGAAGGCCGGCAGUGGGACAGGCAGAGCAGGUGGUGAAUGUCACCCCGAGGGAACAGGUGGCACUCACACUCUAUUGGCACGUGGAUUGCUGCGAGCUGGCUCUAGGCACGGGCAGGUCUGGGCUAAGCUACAAGGGCAGAGCUGUUGUUGUGUGCUUUCUGUACCCUGAACCCAGCCAGUCCCCAUGUCCCUACCCCUGCAGCAGCAAGGCUUUUCCCACCCACCUGAACAGGGCUGGGCUGAGCCCCAUAGCUGGGUGGCCUCUGGGGUGUUCUCUGCCCCUGCAACAGGGGUGACCAUGUGCCCAGGGCCCCUCUCUGUGGUGCCCACCUGUCACCGCCCAGGGCACGUCAUCUGGCCAGUCCCAGAUUGCCCAUCCAGAUCCAUAACCAGUUGGCAAGGAUAUGGUACUGUCUCAAAUCCC